rnacentral:rRNA from 1 species
UAAGGAAUAUUGGUCAAUGGAGGGAACUCUGAACCAGCCAUGCCGCGUGCAGGAAGACGGCCCUAUGGGUUGUAAACUGCUUUUGUACCGGAAUAAACCCCUUUACGAGUAGAGGGCUGAAUGUACGGUAAGAAUAAGGAUCGGCUAACUCCGUGCCAGCAGCCGCGGUAAUACGGAGGAUCCAAGCGUUAUCCGGAUUUAUUGGGUUUAAAGGGUGCGUAGGCGGCUUAUUAAGUCAGGGGUGAAAGGCGGUGGCUCAACCAUCGAAGUGCCUUUGAUACUGAUGAGCUUGAAUCCACUAGAGGUAGGCGGAAUGUGACAAGUAGCGGUGAAAUGCAUAGAUAUGUCACAGAACACCAAUUGCGAAGGCAGCUUACUAUGGUGUCAUUGACGCUGAGGCACGAAAGCGUGGGGAUCAAACA